rnacentral:rRNA from 1 species
UACGAGGGGGGCAAGCGUUGUUCGGAAUUAUUGGGCGUAAAGGGUGCGUAGGCGGCGCGGUAUGUCUCUUGUGAAAUCUCCAGGCUCAACUUGGAGUCUGCAAGGGAAACUGCCGUGCUUGAGUACUGGAGAGGUGAGUGGAAUUCCCGGUGUAGCGGUGAAAUGCGUAGAGAUCCGGAGGAACACCAGCGGCGAAGGCGGCAUCCUGGACUGGUCCUGACACUCAGGAGCGAAAGCGUGGGGAGCGAUCCGG